rnacentral:rRNA from 1 species
GAUGAACGCUAGCGGCAGGCCUAAUACAUGCAAGUCGGACGGGAUCCAUUGGAGAGCUUGCUCGAAGAUGGUGAGAGUGGCGCGCGGGUGCGUAACGCGUGAGCAACCUACCCAUAUCAGGGGGAUAGCCCGAAGAAAUUCGGAUUAACACCGCAUAAUAAUAAUGAUUGGCAUCAAUUAUUAUUUAAAUAUUUAUAGGAUAUGGAUGGGCUCGCGUGACAUUAGCUAGUUGGUAAGGUAACGGCUUACCAAGGCGACGAUGUCUAGGGGCUCUAAGAGGAGAAUCCCCCACACUGGUACUGAGACACGGACCAGACUCCUACGGGAGGCAGCAGUAAGGAAUAUUGGUCAAUGGACGGAAGUUUGAACCAGCCAUGCCGCGUGCAGGAUGACUGCCCUAUGGGUUGUAAACUGCUUUUAUACAGGAAUAAACCUCGAUACGUGUGUCGAGCUGAAUGUACUGUAGGAAUAAGGAUCGGCUAACUCCGUGCCAGCAGCCGCCGUAA